rnacentral:rRNA from 1 species
AUGCUUCAAGGCAGCAGCAUUUCCAACCAGAAGACCUUAUAUGAAGUCCUAUCUGUGCCUGAAGAUGCUACAUAUGACGAAAUACGUACAGCAUACAAGUGUGCUGCUUUAAAUACACAUCCUGACAAAGCACAGCCGACUCUUGAGCCAUUUGUGCCUACCGGCGAGCAACAUGAUUUUUUCGGUGUGCAAAAGGCAUGGGAAACCCUACGCUACCCUAAAUGUCGGGCAGAGUAUGAUAAACAGCUGCAAUCAUCCAGACAGAGCCUUGAUGUCAUCGCAACCGAUAUCGAAAUCGAGGAUAUGAUUGUUGAGAGCUCUGAUGAUGGUGUGGAGCUAUUGUACGCCUGUAGAUGCGGCGAUUAUUUUUCGAUCACAUCUUGCGAGCUUGGUGAAAUGGGAAUUUUGGUGAGUGAAGAUGGGGAAAUAGAAGCGCAGGCACCUGAUUCUUUACCAACAUCUAUUGUUCUGGGAUGUGGCUCGUGUUCUCUUAAAACACGGCUGGUUAUAAAUAAAACUUGA